UACGUAGGGUGCGAGCGUUGUCCGGAAUUACUGGGCGUAAAGGGCGCGUAGGCGGUUUGUUGGGUGUGAUGGUGAAAGCCCUGGGCUUAACCUGGGAAGUGCAUCGCAAACUAAUUAACUGGAGUAGAUGAGAGGGUGGCGGAAUUUCCGGUGUAGCGGUGAAAUGCGUAGAGAUCGGAAGGAACGUCAAUGGCGAAGGCAGCCACCUGGGCAUCAUACUGACGCUGAGGCGCGAAAGGCGUGGGGAGCGAACAGG
rnacentral:rRNA from 1 species